CCCACGUUAUCUGUUUUACCAUCAUCAAUUGGUUCACCGAUAAAUGUACGAUGCCUCCGUCUCAACCCACUAUUGUCAAAUUAUUUUUUGCGAUCUUAAAUCUUUCGAUUGAAUUUGAUAUUGAGUCUCAUUCCUGAUUAGUACAUUUUGAUUGAUCGAGAUUGAAUUCAAUUGCUGGUCAUGCAUGCUUAGUCGGAAAUAUUUACCCUUU
rnacentral:lncRNA from 1 species